rnacentral:rRNA from 1 species
GACGAACGCUGGCGGCGUGCCUAAUACAUGCAAGUAGAACGCUGAAGGAGGAGCUUGCUUCUCUGGAUGAGUUGCGAACGGGUGAGUAACGCGUAGGUAACCUGCCUGGUAGCGGGGGAUAACUAUUGGAAACGAUAGCUAAUACCGCAUAAUAGUAGAUGUUGCAUGACAUUUGCUUAAAAGGUGCAAUUGCAUCACUACCAGAUGGACCUGCGUUGUAUUAGCUAGUUGGUGGGGUAACGGCUCACCAAGGCGACGAUACAUAGCCGACCUGAGAGGGUGAUCGGCCACACUGGGACUGAGACACGGCCCAGACGCCUACGGGAGGCAGCAGUAGGGAAUCUUCGGCAAUGGACGGAAGUCUGACCGAGCAACGCCGCGUGAGUGAAGAAGGGUUUCGGAUCGUAAAGCUCUGUUGUAAGAGAAGAACGAGUGUGAGAGUGGAAAGUUCACACUGUGACGGUAUCUUACCAGAAAGGGACGGCUAACUACGUG